AUUGAACGCUGGCGGAAUGCUUUACACAUGCAAGUCGAACGGUAACAGGUCUUCGGAUGCUGACGAGUGGCGAACGGGUGAGUAAUAUAUCGGAACGUGCCCAGUCGUGGGGGAUAACGUAGCGAAAGUUACGCUAAUACCGCAUACGAUCUAUGGAUGAAAGCGGGGGAGCGCAAGACCUCGCGCGAUUGGAGCGGCCGAUAUCAGAUUAGGUAGUUGGUGGGGUAAAGGCUCACCAAGCCAACGAUCUGUAGCUGGGCUGAGAGGACGACCAGCCACACUGGAACUGAGACACGGUCCAGACUCCUACGGGAGGCAGCAGUGGGGAAUUUUGGACAAUGGACGCAAGUCUGAUCCAGCCAUUCCGCGUGCAGGAUGAAGGCCCUCGGGUUGUAAACUGCUUUUGUACGGAACGAAAAGGUCUCUCCUAAUACGAGGGGCUCAUGACGGUACCGUAAGAAUAAGCACCGGCUAACUACGUGCCAGCCGCCGCGGUAACAC
rnacentral:rRNA from 1 species